CAGCCGCCGCGGGAAUACAGAGGGUGCGAGCGUUAAUCGGAUUUACUGGGCGUAAAGCGUGCGUAGGCGGCUUUUUAAGUCGGAUGUGAAAUCCCUGAGCUUAACUUAGGAAUUGCAUUCGAUACUGGGAAGCUAGAGUAUGGGAGAGGAUGGUAGAAUUCCAGGUGUAGCGGUGAAAUGCGUAGAGAUCUGGAGGAAUACCGAUGGCGAAGGCAGCCAUCUGGCCUAAUACUGACGCUGAGGCACGAAAGCGUGGGGAGCAAACAGGAUUAGAUACCCGAGCAGUCCCUGUCUCUUAUAC
rnacentral:rRNA from 1 species